GCUUCAAUGAUGAUUCACUUCUUUUGUCGGAUACCCCUUCACUCUACAAUGAGUGAGAUCCUCCUUCUGAUGUGGCAGAAGC
ensembl:snoRNA